UCUGAUCUCAAAUCAGGUAGGACUACCCGCUGAACUUAAGCA
rnacentral:rRNA from 2 species